rnacentral:pre_miRNA from 1 species
CUCUUUGGUUAUCUAGCUGUAUGAUUUGAAAUGUAAAUCAUAAAGCUGGAAAACUGAAGGA